rnacentral:rRNA from 1 species
UAGGGAAUAUUAGUAAUGGGCGAAAGCCUGAACUAGCAACGCCGCGUGUGCGAAGAAGGCCUUCGGGUUGUAAAGCACUUUGAGAGGAUGAGGAAGGACGGUACUCUCAGAAUAAGUCUCGGCUAACUACGUGCCAGCAGCCGCGGUAACACGUAGGAGGCGAACGUUAUCCGGAUUUACUGGGCGUAAAGCGCGUGUAGGUGGUUUGGUAAGUAGGGCGUGAAAGCUCCUGGCUCAACUGGGAGAGGCCGUUCUAAACUGGCGAACUAGAGGAUGGUAGAGGGAGGUGGAAUUCCGGGUGUAGCGGUGGAAUGCGCAGAUAUCCGGAGGAACACCAGUGGCGAAAGCGGCCUCCUGGACCAUUCCUGACACUCAGACGCGAAAGCUAGGGUAGCAAACGG